GACGAACGCUGGCGGCGCGCCUAACACAUGCAAGUCGAACGAGCGAGAGAGAGCUUGCUUUCUCGAGCGAGUGGCGAACGGGUGAGUAACGCGUGAGGAACCUGCCUCAAAGAGGGGGACAACAGUUGGAAACGACUGCUAAUACCGCAUAAGCCCACGACCCGGCAUCGGGUAGAGGGAAAAGGAGCAAUCCGCUUUGAGAUGGCCUCGCGUCCGAUUAGCUAGUUGGUGAGGUAAUGGCCCACCAAGGCGACGAUCGGUAGCCGGACUGAGAGGUUGAACGGCCACAUUGGGACUGAGACACGGCCCAGACUCCUACGGGAGGCAGCAGUGGGGAAUAUUGCACAAUGGGGGAAACCCUGAUGCAGCGACGCCGCGUGGAGGAAGAAGGUCUUCGGAUUGUAAACUCCUGUUGUUGAGGAAGAUAAUGACGGUACUCAACAAGGAAGUGACGGCUAACUACGUGCCAGCAGCCGCGGUAAAACGUAGGUCACAAGCGUUGUCCGGAAUUACUGGGUGUAAAGGGAGCGCAGGCGGGAAGACAAGUUGGAAGUGAAAUCCAUGGGCUCAACCCAUGAACUGCUUUCAAAACUGUUUUUCUUGAGUAGUGCAGAGGUAGGCGGAAUUCCCGGUGUAGCGGUGGAAUGCGUAGAUAUCGGGAGGAACACCAGUGGCGAAGGCGGCCUACUGGGCACUAACUGACGCUGAUGCUCGAAAGUGUGGGUAUCAAACAGGAUUAGAUACCCUGGUAGUCCACACAGUAAACGAAGAAAUACUCGCUGCUUGGCGAUAAUACAGUAAGGGACCAAGCGAAAGCGUUAAGUAUUCCACCUGGGGAGUUACGCCCGGCAACGGUGAAACUCAAAGGAAUUGACGGGGGCCCGCACAAGCGGAGGAAACCAUGUGGUUUAAUUCGAUGAUACGCGAGGAACCUUACCCGGGCUUAAAUUGCAAAUGAAUGUUCUGGAAACAGAUCAGCCGCAAGGCAUUUGUGAAGGUGCUGCAUGGUUGUCGUCAGCUCGUGCCGUGAGGUGUCGGCUUAAGUGCCAUAACGAGCGCAACCCUUAUCGAUAGUUACCAUCAGGUUAUGCUGGGGACUCUGUCGAGACUGCCGUCGUAAGAUGUGAGGAAGGUGGGGAUGACGUCAAAUCAGCACGGCCCUUACGUCCGGGGCUACACACGUGUUACAAUGGGGGGUACAGAAGGCAGCUACACGGCGACGUGAUGCUAAUCCCUAAAACCUCUCUCAGUUCGGAUUGGAGUCUGCAACCCGACUCCAUGAAGCUGGAUUCGCUAGUAAUCGCGCAUCAGCCACGGCGCGGUGAAUACGUUCCCGGGCCUUGUACU
rnacentral:rRNA from 1 species